UGUUACAGAAACGCAUAACUUUUAGAACAGAAAAAUAUCUUAUACAAAUACACUCACUAAAAUCCAAGCAUGACUCUGGAGCAGCAGAGUUCACCGGAAGUAAAGCAAAAGCCAGAGUUAACGCUUCUCCAAAAGGUUACUUUCUUCUUCAUUGGCAUUUCGUCAGCUUUCACUGUUUACGCUUUGAUACGCUUCUCAAACGGUUUACUUUUUGAGUCGAAGCCACACGCCACCCAACAUGGCUCCGCGCACCUAAGCGAAGACUUGUUGCGAUUGUAACAUUUUUUACCAACUCUGAGUUUAUUUUACACACAAAUUUCUCUUAGUAAUGCUGGAUUUAGAAAGAAGCUCAGUACGCAGUAACAGGCGUGAUGUAAUCUUCCAAUUUCUAGUUCGAGCUAAUAAUUGUAUUUUUGGUUUCGCAUUAACGGGCUUAAUCGCAGUGAGCCUUAUUGUAAUUGCCUUGUGGCUUAUACGAUUUAUGGAUACUUUGUUCGGAGUGUACAAAAGAAAGAAUAAUGAAGCUUCAGGAUAGAUUUUUCCAUGGAUAAUAAUCAAAUUGAUAUGACAUAAUUUUGCGUGUAUUUAGUUCAUUGAAAAAAUACAAAUCUACAUACAUAUAUAGAGUUAAU